rnacentral:rRNA from 1 species
AACGUAGGGGACAAGCGUUAUCCGGAUUUACUGGGCGUAAAGCGCCCGUAGGCGGCCUGACAAGUUGGACGUGAAAGCUCCUGGCUUAACUGGGAGAGGCCGUUCAAAACUGUCAAGCUAGAGUCUGGAAGAGGAGAGCGGAAUUCCCGGUGUAGUGGUGGAAUGCGUAGAUAUCGGGAGGAACACCAGCGGCGAAGGCGGCUUUCUGGACCAAUACUGACGCUGAGACGCGAAAGCGUGGGGAGCAAACAGG